rnacentral:rRNA from 1 species
UACGUAGGGGGCAAGCGUUGUCCGGAAUCAUUGGGCGUAAAGCGCGUGUAGGCGGCCCGAUAAGUCCGCUGUGAAAGUCCAGGGCUCAACCCUGGGAUGCCGGUGGAUACUGUCGGGCUCGAGUCCGGAAGAGGCGAGUGGAAUUCCUGGUGUAGCGGUGAAAUGCGCAGAUAUCAGGAGGAACACCAAUGGCGAAGGCAGCUCGCUGGGACGUGACUGACGCUGAGACGCGAAAGCCAGGGGAGCGAACAGG